UAAUCUUUAUAGAGAAAAUACCACUGAAAAAACCAAGCUAGUACGCUGUAAAUUCUCUCCCCUUCAGAGAACUAUGAUCCAGUUCUUCGCCAUGGGAAAACAGCCAGCAUAAGUGCCAUUGAUUAAGAACCCACUUUGUGUUGUGAUGAGCACCGGGUGUCCUAAGAUGGUACCGUCCUGGCUGUGGUGGAAGAUGGCUGGGUUGGAGAGU
rnacentral:lncRNA from 1 species